UGUAGAUUUUGAUGGCGACCGGCGAACGGGUGCGUAACACGUAUGCAACCUACCUUUUGCUAGAAAAUAGCCUGAGGAAACUUGGAUUAAUAUUCUAUAAUAUAAUUUUAUCGCAUGAUGAAAUUAUUAAAACAGAAAUGUGGCAAAAGAUGGGCGUGCGUCCGAUUAGUUAGUUGGUUAGGGUAAAGGCCUACCAAGACGAUGAUCGGUAGGGGGCCUGAGAGGGUGAUCCCCCACACUGGUACUGAGACACGGACCAGACUCCUACGGGAGGCAGCAGUGAGGAAUAUUGGUCAAUGGAGGAAACUCUGAACCAGCCACGUCGCGUGCAGGAAGAAUGCCUUAUGGGUUGUAAACUGCUUUUGUAUAGGAAUAAAGAUUUCUACGAGAUAGAGAUUGUGAAUGUACUGUACGAAUAAGUGUCGGCAAACUCCGUGCCAGCAGCCGCGGUAAUACGGAGGACACAAGCGUUAUCCGGAUUUAUUGGGUUUAAAGGGUGCGUAGGCGGUUUAUUAAGUCAGUAGUGAAAUAUUGCAGCUUAACUGUUAAAAUGGCUAUUGAUACUGGUAGACUUUGAGUGAGAUUGGAGUAGCUGGAAUGUGUGGUGUAGCGGUGAAAUGCAUACAUAUCACACAGAACACCGAUCGCGAAAGCAGGUUACUAAGUCUAUACUGACGCUGAGGCACGAAAGCGUGGGGAGCAAACAGGAUUAGAUACCCUGGGUAGUCCACGCCGUAAACGAUGAUCACUAGUUGUUGGAUUUUAAUAUCAGUGGCCAAGCGAAAGUGAUAAGUGAUCCACCUGGGGAGUACGGCCGCAAGGCUGAAACUCAAAGGAAUUGACGGGGGCCCGCACAAGCGUGGAGCAUGUGGUUUAAUUCGAUGAUACGCGAGGAACCUUACCAAGGUUUAAAUGGACUACGAAUAAGCUAGAAAUAGUUUAGUCUUCGGACGGAGUACAAGAUGCUGCAUGGUUGUCGUCAGCUCGUGCCGUGAGGUGUUGGGUUAAGUCCCUCAACGAGCGCAACCCUCAUUGUUAGUUGCCAGCGAGUUAAGUCGGGGACUCUAACAAGACUGCCGAGUAAGUCGAGAGGAAGGUGGGGAUGACGUCAAAUCAUCACGGCUCUUAUACCUUGGGCUACACACGUGCUACAAUGGUCGGUACAAAGGGUUGCUACUGGGUAAUCAGAAGCCAAUCUCUAAAAGCCGAUCUCAGUUCGGAUUGGAGUCUGCAACUCGACUCCAUGAAGUUGGAAUCGCUAGUAAUCGCAUAUCAGCCAUGAUGCGGUGAAUACGUUCCCGGGCCUUGUACACACCGCCCGUCAAGCCAUGGAAGUCGGGGAGACCUGAAAUCGGUGACC
rnacentral:rRNA from 1 species